rnacentral:rRNA from 1 species
GUAAUUCCGGUGAAGAUGCCGGAUACCUGCGACAGGACGGAAAGACCCCAUGGAGCUUUACUGUAGCUUGACAUUGGGUCUUGGUACUACAUGUACAGGAUAGGUGGGAGGCUUUGAAACCAGGACGCCAGUUUUGGCGGAGCCAUCCUUGGGAUACCACCCUUGUAGUACUGGGACUCUAACCAUCGGCCAUGAAUCUGGUCUUGGGACACUGUCAGGUGGGCAGUUUGACUGGGGCGGUCGCCUCCCAAAAGGUAACGGAGGCGCUCAAAGGUUCUCUCAGUACGGUCGGAAAUCGUACGUAGAGUGUAAAGGCAAAAGAGAGCUUGAUUGCAAGACAUACAGGUCGAGCAAGGAUGAAAAUCGGACUUAGUGAUCCGGUGGUUCUGCGUGGAAGGGCCAUCGCUCAACGGAUAAAAGCUACCCUGGGGAUAACAGGCUUAUCUCCCCCAAGAGUCCACAUCGACGGGGAGGUUUGGCACCUCGAUGUCGGCUCAUCACAUCCUGGGGCUGUAGUAGGUCCCAAGGGUUGGGCUGUUCGCCCAUUAAAGUGGUACGCGAGCUGGGUUCAGAACGUCGUGAGACAGUUCGGUCCCUAUCCGUCGCAGGCGUAGGAAAUUUGAGAAG